rnacentral:rRNA from 1 species
CCUACGGGAGGCUGCAGUGGGGAAUAUUGCACAAUGGGCGCAAGCCUGAUGCAGCCAUGCCGCGUGUGUGAAGAAGGCCUUCGGGUUGUAAAGCACUUUCAGCGGGGAGGAAGGCGGUGAGGUUAAUAACCUCAUCGAUUGACGUUACCCGCAGAAGAAGCACCGGCUAACUCCGUGCCAGCAGCCGCGGUAAUACGGAGGGUGUAAGCGUUAAUCGGAAUUACUGGGCGUAAAGCGCACGCAGGCGGUCUGUCAAGUCGGAUGUGAAAUCCCCGGGCUCAACCUGGGAACUGCAUUCGAAACUGGCAGGCUAGAGGCUUGUAGAGGGGGGUAGAAUUCCAGGUGUAGCGGGGAAAUGCGUAGAGAGCUGGAGGAAUACCGGUGGCGAAGGCGGCCCCCUGGACAAAGACUGACGCUCAGGUGCGAAAGCGUGGGGAGCAAACAGGAUUAGAUACCCGGGUAGUC